ACGAAACGCUGGCGGCGCGGCUUAACACAUGCAAGUCGAGCGAGAACCAGGGCCUUCGGGGCCUGGGGACAGCGGGCGAACGGGUGAGUAACACGUGGGUAAUCAACCCUCGGUACUGGGAUAGCCCCGGGGAAACCCGGAUUAAUACCGGAUGGCCCUUCGGAUCUUCGGUUUCUGAAGGAAAAAAGGUUAGCUUCGGCCCUCCGACCGAGGGACGAGGGCCCGCGGCGGAAUUAGCUUUGUUUGGUGGGGGGUAACGGGCCCUACCAAGGCUGCGAUCCGUAGCUGGUCUGAGAGGACGAUCAGCCACACUGGGACUGAGACACGGCCCAGACUCCUACGGGAGGCAGGCAGUGGGGGAAUCUUGCGCUAAUGCGGGAAAACCGUGACGCAGCGACGCCCGCGUGAGGGAAGAAGGCCUUCGGGUUGUAAAACCUCUUUCAGGAGGGACGAAGCUACUCGGGUUAAUAGCCCAGAGGGGUGACGGUACCCUCCAGAAGAAGCCCCGGCUAACUACGUGCCAGCAGCCGCGGUAAUACGUAGGGGGCAAGCGUUGUCCGGAUUUUAUUGGGCCGUAAAAGAGCGUGUAGGCGGCUUUGCAAGUCCGUUGUGAAAACUCGAGGCUCAACCUCGAGACGCCGGUGGAAAACUGCAAAGCUAGAGGUCCGGAAGAGGAGGAGGUGGGAAUUCCUGGUGUAGCGGUGAAAUGCGCAGAUAUCAGGAAAAGAACACCCGUGGCGAAGGCGGCUCUCCUGGGACGGUACUGACGCUGAGACGCGAAAAGCGUGGGGGAGCGAACAGGAAUUAGAUUACCCUGGUAGUCCACGCCCGUAAACGAUGGGUGCUAGGUGUGGGGCGGUAUGUCGACCUCCGUCCGUGCCGAAGCUAACGCAAUUAAGCACCCCGCCCUGGGGAGUACGGCCGCAAGGCUAAAACUCAAAAGGAAUUGACGGGGGCCCGCCACAAAGCAGCGGAGCAUGUUGUUUAAUUCGACGCGACGCGAAGAAACCUUACCAAGGCUUGACAUGCACGGGAAUGUCCGUAGAAAUACGGCAGCCCUUCGGGGGCUCGUGCCACAGGUGGUGCAUGGCUGUCGUCAGCUCGUGUCGUGAGAUGGUUGGGUUAAGUCCCCGCAACGGAGCGCAACCCCCUGUCCCAUGUUUGCCAGCGUGAAAGACGGGGGACUCAUGGGAUACUGCCGGUGACAAAUCGGAGGAAGGUGGGGAUGACCGUCAAGUCAUCAUGCCCCCUUAUGUCUUGGGCUACAAAAUGUGCUACAUUGGGCCCGGUACAAAGGGCUGCAAACCUGCGAGGGUGAGCGAAUCCCAAAAAGCCGGUUCCCGGUUCGGAUAUUGAAGGCUGAAACUCGCCUUCAUGAAGGCGGAGUUGCUAGUAAUCGCGGAUCAGCAACGCCGCGGUGAAUAUGUUUCCCGGGCCUUGUACACACCGCCCGUCACACCACGAAAGUCGGCAAUACCCGAAGCCGGUGGCCUAACCCGCAAGGGAGGGAGCCGUCGAAGGUGGGGGUCGGAUGAUUGGGGUG
rnacentral:rRNA from 1 species